rnacentral:rRNA from 1 species
UACGUAGGGUGCGAGCGUUGUCCGGAAUUACUGGGCGUAAAGAGCUCGUAGGUGGUUUGUCGCGUUGUCCGUGAAAACUCACAGCUCAACUGUGGGCGUGCGGGCGAUACGGGCAGACUGGAGUACUGCAGGGGAGACUGGAAUUCCUGGUGUAGCGGUGGAAUGCGCAGAUAUCAGGAGGAACACCGGUGGCGAAGGCGGGUCUCUGGGCAGUAACUGACGCUGAGGCACGAAAGCGUGGGGAGCAAACAGG